UUCGGGUAUAUUUGUGAGUACGAGAAAACAACCCCGUAAAACAACAGCCUAAUGGUGACUAUAUCUGUCAUUAUAAUUGAAGGUAAGUGGAGGGCGCUCAGGUUACUCUACUUACAAGUCGCCCUUGAACCUCAAGCGCAACCGAGAGGACGUUUAGGUUGGUUGAGGGAAUGAGCCUUUUGGCAGUCUUUUCUUUACCAGUAAGACCAGGAAAAU
rnacentral:lncRNA from 1 species